GAGUACCGGCUAGUAUCGCGAGAUCAGGAAGGUGGCCGAGUGUGUCGCCGCGGCCAUCAGGGGGGUUAUAGCCAUGUGACUGAUCUUCGUCCAAGAAUAUGUAAAGAAAAAGUGUUGAGUUGGCUUUUAGGGCUAGAGCAAUGUAUCUUAGGCUCACUUAAGGAAGCUGUAGAGAUGAGCCCAAGGAGGGAAACCAGAAGAGCCCCCCAGGCUCACCAGUUGUUUGUUGGCUCCCUACAAACAUGUCAUUCAAGUGGCUAAUCUUACAACAGCACAAAUUCAUCUAACCAGAAAGAGAAGAGGAGGCUCCAAAGGCACUUGACUACUGAGCAUCACCCUGGACGUGUACAAGUCUGCGUCCUUAUUGUUUUCUUCAUUGGGCCGAACUUUCUGGUCCUCAUCCAACAGCUCUUCUAUCACGUGUUCGAAAGUGUCAGCCAAUGAUGUCAAGCCUCUUGAACCUGCCUUGGGCCCAUUCACGCUCUCCAGAGUCCCAUGGGUCCGCACACCUGGAGAUACUCUAUUAUAGCAAAGAAGAAAGAUAAUUUCAUUGAGCCAUCCUGUUUUACAGCACCCAACAGAAUCCCUUCAAAGCCUCGUGGUCUGACACCCUAUGCUACGUGACUUGUGACCCAUCCAUUUGUCAUGUUCUUCGGGAAUGUGGCUAAGGGGCUAAGAUGUGACUUGAAAAGAAAGGUAGAACAAGAUCAUCUCAAAUUUAUUAUCAAGGAAUAGUUCAGAAAACGACUUCAGACCACAGAGACAGCAGAACAGAUGGUCCGGCAUGGAUAGAGCAUCAGACACUCACAGACUGUGCCAACAAGAGCCAUCGAGUCAAAACAGCCAAAGGAAGGAGGGUCAUGGAAUGGGUUCUCUCACACCAAACUGAUGCCCAGAGGCCCUCAGCAUGAAUAACAAAGGCAACCAGACCCACAAGCCAUACUGAGUGGAUACAAAACCUAUACCUAGGCUGACAUCCCAAAUGUGUGUGGCAAGUUAGAUGAUGAUGGCACAAAAGACAGAACACCUUGCUUCUGGCCAUUGUCAGCUCUUGGAAGAGAGCACACUUUUAGAGGAGCAGCUGCAAGGAGCCUGAGAACAAAACUGGAAAUGUCUGUUAUGAAAGCCUUCACAGGAAAUUCUGCAAGUGGCAACGUGGGUCCAUUCCGUGUGUGUCACUAGAGCUGGCGCAAGCCCAUGGCCAUGGUGAGGCAGCGUUUCCACUGGAACUAAUCUGAUACCUGCACCAGCUCUUGCAACUGUGCAGUGUUCCCACUGCAAACUACGGAUGGGGUAAAAGACUGCUCACCUCCUAUUUCUCAUCUAAUCUCACACACUCUGUUUGAUGAGGCUAUGGAGAAACAGGUCUUCUCAUACACUAAAGGUGGGAGUACAAACAAUUCAAGCCCUGUGCAGGACAAUUAGGCAAUACCUAUCAAAAUUAUACAUGAUUUUUCCUGCUGACCCAGCAAUUCCACUUCUGGGAAUAAUUGACAGAUAUAGGUGCAUAUGUACAAAAUGAUGGAAAGCUCUCUGGUAUAUAUUAGUAAGUGAUAAAACAAGGUGUAAAAUAGUGUAUAUAUGGCUACUACCUUUUGUUUUAAAAAUGGGGGAAAAUGGUGGAGCUUGCGGUGAGCCGAGAUCGU
rnacentral:lncRNA from 1 species